GUCGUGACUGCGUGCCUUUUGAAGAAUGAGCCUGCGAGUUAGCGGUGUGUAGCGAGGUUAACCCGUGUGGGGAAGCCGUAGCGAAAGCGAGUCCGAACAGGGCGUUUGAGUUGCACGCUCUAGACCCGAAGCGGAGUGAUCUAGCCAUGGGCAGGUUGAAGCGGCUGUAAGAGGUCGUGGAGGACCGAACCCACCAGGGUUGAAAACCUGGGGGAUGACCUGUGGUUAGGGGUGAAAGGCCAAUCAAACUCCGUGAUAGCUGGUUCUCCCCGAAAUGCAUUUAGGUGCAGCGUCGUGUGUUUCUUGCCGGAGGUAGAGCACUGGAUAGGCGAUGGGCCCUACCGGGUUACUGACCUUAGCCAAACUCCGAAUGCCGGUAAGUGAGAGCGCGGCAGUGAGACUGUGGGGGAUAAGCUCCAUGGUCGAGAGGGAAACAGCCCAGAGCAUCGACUAAGGCCCCUAAGCGUACGCUAAGUGGGAAAGGAUGUGGAGUCGCAGAGACAACCAGGAGGUUGGCUUAGAAGCAGCCACCCUUGAAAGAGUGCGUAAUAGCUCACUGGUCAAGUGAUUCCGCGCCGACAAUGUAGCGGGGCUCAAGCGUACCGCCGAAGUCGUGUCAUUCCAGCAUGUACCCCCAACGGGGGCUGGGAUGGGUAGGGGAGCGUCGUGUGCCGGGUGAAGCUGCAGCGGAAGCUAGUGGUGGACGGUUCACGAGUGAGAAUGCAGGCAUGAGUAGCGAUACACACGUGAGAAACGUGUGCGCCGAUUGACUAAGGGUUCCUGGGUCAAGCUGAUCUGCCCAGGGUAAGUCGGGACCUAAGGCGAGGCCGACAGGCGUAGUCGAUGGACAACCGGUUGAUAUUCCGGUACCCGCUUUGAAACGCCCAGUAUCGAAUCAGGCGAUGCUAAGCCCGUGAAGCCGUUCCGGACCCUUCGGGGAAUGGAAAGUGGUGGAGCCGGUGACCCAGACUUGUAGUAGGUAAGCGAUGGGGUGACGCAGGAAGGUAGUCCAGCCCGGGCGGUGGUUGUCCCGGGGUAAGGGUGUAG
rnacentral:ncRNA from 1 species